UGAGGAAUAUUGGGCAAUGCCCGCAAGGGUGACCCAGCAACGCCGCGUGGAGGAUGAAUGUCGUAAGAUUGUAAACUCCUGUUAGAGGGGAAGAAUAGUACCGGUUGGACCGGUAUAUGACUGUACCCUCAGAGAAAGCCCCGGCUAACUACGUGCCAGCAGCCGCGGUAAUACGUAGGGGGCAAGCGUUGUCCGGAUUUACUGGGUGUAAAGGGUGCGCAGGCGGAUGGGUAAGUCAGGGGUGAAAGUCUGCAGCUUAACUGUAGAAUUGACUUUGGUACUGCACGUCUUGAGUGUGGGAUAGGUUGAUGGAAUUCCUGGUGUAGCAGUGAAAUGCGUAGAUAUCUGGAAGAACACCAGUGGCGGAGGCGAUCAACUGGCCCAUAACUGACGCUCAUGCACGAAAGCGUGG
rnacentral:rRNA from 1 species